GGCUGCCGGGGCUGAGGAAGAUUUGAGAAGGGGCCCUUCCUUAGCACGUGGGGAGCUGUAUGUUCCCAGCCCCAAGGCAAAGCUCCCACAAGCUGCUCAAUCUAACAGAGGGGCUCCCACGGGCUGUGAUUUUUGGUCUACAGGGAGCUGGCAUUCACCUGGGGGAAUGUCAUGCCCUUUCCCACCCUGGAGCCCAGCUCUGGGGCCUCAUCAAGUCGAGCAGUGCGGCAGCUGGGACUGGGCUGGAUUCGGAGGUUUGGGGCUCCUUGGUCGUUAGCAUGUGGACAGUGGCUGAAUCAUGGAAUACAUGACGACAUCCUGCAGAGUGAGGCCAAGGAGGGAAGAGGCCCAGAGCAGCACCUGGAGGGGGGUGGAGAGUCAGAAGAAAGUUCUUCCCUCUCUCCCAGAACCCCCUCACCGUCUUCAAUGACCAGGCUGAGGUAAGAGGGACAGACUCAGAGACCACCAGUCCGUGUGGCCGGAGCCGCUCCUCAGAGCAGGGGAGGGUGUGGGCCCCCACGUUUCCUUUCCCCUCCUUUCAGGCCAGCGCAAGCAAGGCAGCCCAUCCCCAUCCUUGUUCUGCUCCGCUUCUCAGCCAGCUCUGUUUGCAGCAAGCGCCUGGGAGGUGGGACGGGGGGCGGGGGGGCGGAGGUGUGGACAGAGGCGAGGUUUCUCUUUCUACAGCCAUAGAAGCAAGAGGCCAAAGAGGGUGAGUGACAAACCCAAAGUUACAUGACAUGUUGGGGGUCAAGCUGAGAUGAGAAGAGUGGAUGUGACCCCAUCUCCGGGACCAACAGGCCAAGAGUGUUUCAGUGACAGCACUUGGUCGGGAUGUGGUGGAGGGAGCUGGGGGUUUUCCGGCUCCCUAGAUGGGCAAAAGCAGAGCUUUCCGGGUACCUCUUCCCAGAUCCUUACCCAUAACUGCCCCCCCCAACCCGCAACAGCCCCUGUCCCCCAGGGAUGAAGAGAGAACCUGAACAUUUGAAGUCAGUAAGAGGGAAGGGCUGAGGCAGUGGCUAGAGCUCCGGUCCUCACAGCAAGCAGGUUUCUCAGGGUGGGCUAUGAGAGGUGGAGGUCCAGGUGAGCUCAGGCAUACCAAUGUGCCCUCCUGGCUUUACCUGGGCUUCAGCAGUGGCUGCCUCCCUACAAAUUGUCCUCCUGGUCCCUGGCCCCCUGCCCCUCUCACUGCUGUCCUUACAGACCCUUCCUACCUCCCCCUCCAGCAGCCCUGCCACAAAGAACCUGACCUCCCGGACUGGCCAGCCACAGCCUGGUGACACAACUUCUCUAUACUAGGGUUUCCAUUCCUACCUCCUCACCCCCUCCCCCGUGACAAGAGGCCUCCCCAGAUGUGUCUCCACAGCACAGGGACAUGAAGCCUCUUCCCAGCUGCAGGGACUGCUUACAGGUAUGAAACCACAUUCCAGUCCCCCUCUCUCCUCCCCACCCCCCAACUUCUGGGCAUUUGCUGGGAGCUGGGGCAGGGGGAGCCAAGUGCAGGAGCUGCGGUUUCCAGGCUCUUCACACCCAGCCCCAUCUGCUCUGUUGCUCUUAGCAGUGUCCAGACCCUUGAUAAGUCAUUUCUGUCCCCUGGGUCUUGCUGUUGGGGCUGGCCCUCCCUGAUUCCUAGCAUGGCCACGGGUUCUGUUGAGACCACACGUUGUGCUAUGGGAUUUUUAUAUGCGCACGUCUGCUUCUCUACCAGAUGGGAAGAUCCUUAAAGAUUGGACUCGAUCGGGACGCCUGGGUGGCUCAGUCGGUUAAGCAUCCAACUUCAGCUCAGGUCACGAUCUCACAGUCCGUGAGUUUGAGCCCCUCAUCGGGCUCUAUGCUGACAGCUCAGAGCCUAGAGCCUGCUUCAGAUUCUGUCUCCCUCUCUCUCCUCCCUCCCUUGUUCACGCUCCAUCUCCCUCUCUCUCUCAAAAAAUAAAUAAACAUUAAAAAAAAAAAAAA